GAUGAACGCUGGCGGCGUGCCUAAUACAUGCAAGUCGAGCGAACGGACGAGAAGCUUGCUUCUCUGAUGUUAGCGGCGGACGGGUGAGUAACUCGUGGAUAACCUACCUAUAAGACUGGGAUAACUUCGGGAAACCGGAGCUAAUACCGGAUAAUAUUUUGAACCGCAUGGUUCAAAAGUGAAAGACGGUCUUGCUGUCACUUAUAGAUGGAUCCGCGCUGCAUUAGCUAGUUGGUAAGGUAACGGCUUACCAAGGCAACGAUGCAUAGCCGACCUGAGAGGGUGAUCGGCCACACUGGAACUGAGACACGGUCCAGACUCCUACGGGAGGCAGCAGUAGGGAAUCUUCCGCAAUGGGCGAAAGCCUGACGGAGCAACGCCGCGUGAGUGAUGAAGGUCUUCGGAUCGUAAAACUCUGUUAUUAGGGAAGAACAUAUGUGUAAGUAACUGUGCACAUCUUGACGGUACCUAAUCAGAAAGCCACGGCUAACUACGUGUCAGCAGCCGCGGUAAUACGUAGGUGGCAAGCGUUAUCCGGAAUUAUUGGGCGUAAAGCGCGCGUAGGCGGUUUUUUAAGUCUGAUGUGAAAGCCCACGGCUCAACCGUGGAGGGUCAUUGGAAACUGGAAAACUUGAGUGCAGAAGAGGAAAGUGGAAUUCCAUGUGUAGCGGUGAAAUGCGCAGAGAUAUGGAGGAACACCAGUGGCGAAGGCGACUUUCUGGUCUGUAACUGACGCUGAUGUGCGAAAGCGUGGGGAUCAAACAGGAUUAGAUACCCUGGUAGUCCACGCCGUAAACGAUGAGUGCUAAGUGUUAGGGGGUUUCCGCCCCUUAGUGCUGCAGCUAACGCAUUAAGCACUCCGCCUGGGGAGUACGACCGCAAGGUUGAAGCUCAAAGGAAUUGACGGGGACCCGCACAAGCGGUGGAGCAUGUGGUUUAAUUCGAAGCAACGCGAAGAACCUUACCAAAUCUUGACAUCCUUUGACAACUCUAGAGAUAGAGCCUUCCCCUUCGGGGGACAAAGUGACAGGUGGUGCAUGGUUGUCGUCAGCUCGUGUCGUGAGAUGUUGGGUUAAGUCCCGCAACGAGCGCAACCCUUAAGCUUAGUUGCCAUCAUUAAGUUGGGCACUCUAAGUUGACUGCCGGUGACAAACCGGAGGAAGGUGGGGAUGACGUCAAAUCAUCAUGCCCCUUAUGAUUUGGGCUACACACGUGCUACAAUGGACAAUACAAAGGGCAGCGAAACCGCGAGGUCAAGCAAAUCCCAUAAAGUUGUUCUCAGUUCGGAUUGUAGUCUGCAACUCGACUACAUGAAGCUGGAAUCGCUAGUAAUCGUAGAUCAGCAUGCUACGGUGAAUACGUUCCCGGGUCU
rnacentral:rRNA from 1 species